rnacentral:rRNA from 1 species
CCUACGGGAGGCAGCAGUGGGGAAUAUUGGGCAAUGGGCGCAAGCCUGACCCAGCAACGCCGCGUGAAGGAAGAAGGCUUUCGGGUUGUAAACUUCUUUUAAGAGGGAAGAGCAGAAGACGGUAACUCUUGAAUAAGCCACGGCUAACUACGUGCCAGCAGCCGCGGUAAUACGUAGGUGGCAAGCGUUGUCCGGAUUUACUGGGUGGAAAGGGCGCGUAGCCGGGCUGACAAGUCAGAUGUGAAAUCCCGUGGCUCAACCACGGAACUGCAUUUGAAACUGUCGGACUUGAGUAUAGGUGCGGCAGGCGGAAUUUAUGGUGUAGCGGUGAAAUGCGUAGAGAUUAGGCGGAACACCAGUGGCGAAGGCAGCCUGCUAGACGACAACUGACGGUGAGGCGCGAAAGCGUGGGGAGCAAACAGGAUUAGAUACCCGGGUAGUC